rnacentral:rRNA from 1 species
AGGAUGAACGCUGGCGGCGUGCUUAACACAUGCAAGUCGAACGAUGAUCCCAGCUUGCUGGGGGAUUAGUGGCGAACGGGUGAGUAACACGUGAGUAACCUGCCCUUAACUCUGGGAUAAGCCUGGGAAACUGGGUCUAAUACCGGAUAUGACUCCUCAUCGCAUGGUGGGGGGUGGAAAGCUUUAUUGUGGUUUUGGAUGGACUCGCGGCCUAUCAGCUUGUUGGUGAGGUAAUGGCUCACCAAGGCGACGACGGGUAGCCGGCCUGAGAGGGUGACCGGCCACACUGGGACUGAGACACGGCCCAGACUCCGUACGGGAGGCAGCAGGUGGGAAUAUUGACACAAUGGGACGAAAGCCUGAUGCAGGCGACGCCGCGUGGAGGGAUGGACGGUCCGUUCGGGUUAGUUAAACCCUCGUUUACCAGGUUAACGGAAGAAGACGAAAGGUGAACGGUACCGUAGACGAAGAAGAACGCGACCGGACUAACGUACGUGACCAGCCACGUCCGGACGUAACGUCGUAGGACGCGG